rnacentral:lncRNA from 1 species
AUCGCCGCGGGCACUUGACGGUGUCCUAGUUUGUGCCCUCGGACAGCGGUUUCCUCUGCUUUACUGCAUGGAAAACUGAUUUCAGAAAUUUAUUUCCACACUUACGGUAACAUUAAGCCACAGCAAAAGUUAAGUGGAAUGACUUGCAGAGGGAAAAAAAUGACAGCGCAAAAAGUGACAGGUUUCUCCUUCUAGUAUUCAUCCAAUUUACUCAAAGAAGUCAUGUAACCCUAAAAGACACAUAUUCGACUUGAAUUGGGAUAUAAAAGACAAUUUCUUGCACAGUUUAUUCAACAAAUACAAUUUAAGAGUGCCUACUCAGUGUCGGGCACUGGGGACACGGUGGUCCCACGUAGCCCACAGCAGGUCUAGGAAGACAGAAAAGUUUGUGUAACCAUACAGUUUAGCACUGGAUUUGUUUAAGGGAGAUGCACAGGGCACUUGGAGGGUUCAAUGGAAAGAUCCGGUGUAAAUUGUGGACAUGGUAGACCGUCUGAGAAAACGAUGCUCCCUUUUGAGAGAGAAGACUGUUGCAGGUGGAAGGAAAUCCCGGAGGCCGAGAGGCCGCCACCCUCAGAGAAGCCGUCAGGGAGCCCAGAGCCAAGGGCAGCGGGGCCUCGGGGACCGGGGUCCAGGGGGGUCUUAGUCACGAUAAGAAGGUUUAUAUUCUUCAUGCAGCUUCCGGCCAGGUUUCGUAAAGCCACGUGAGGCCAAUCAGUUUACUCGAGAGGGUAGCUGCGGUCCCCACACGGAGAGAAGGGACAGGAGUGGAAGGCUUCCGCCGGAGCCGCGGGACGACGCAGGCCUGGGGCUUCCCUCUAGCCAGUCUGCAGUCCGGAAAGCUACGCAGGUGGUGGGGAGGAUGACGGAGAUGGUGGUGAAGGCUGAGCGGCCUGGGGUGGGCAGGGCACAGCACCGUCCCGAGUGGAGUUGGCAGAGGCUGUGACGCCAGAGGUGAGGCAGGCGGGAUGGCUGCGCAGACAGCGCUCUGCCUUCAGACGAGACUCCGGGGUGCCGUCUUUCAGCUCAGCGGCACUCCUCCCACAUGUCUUCACUGGGUGAAGCCUUGUUUUUCCCUCCGCUUGUAAAACUUGUGUUUGAUUUUUUUUUAUGGAGACUACAGGUGCAAAGGGCCUCAACCUAAAUUGGUGACAGUGGUUCCAACUCCAACUUGAAUUUUUUAAAAUAAUAGGAUAUUAAGUAACACCAGAAAAAGGGAGACAUGGAAAACACUAGGUAAGUGGGACAGCUUUAAAGGGGUCCUGCCUCCCCCAAUUUUCUUUCCAUGGGAACGGCCCCCAAAAUAGAACAAACUAUCUGAGUCAAGCAAAAUAUGUAACAUGGUCUAAACAGUGUAUCCAAAAUUAGGAAAGUGAAGCAUAGCUGGGGGUGGGGGGAGGGGGUGUUCUUGUUUGCUUUGAUUUCUGUUCUUUAAGUAUCAAUACCUGAGUACUUGAAUGUUACUAAGGUAAAUGUGGAAACUGUCCAAAAUUCUCCAAAUCUCUGUGGCUAUAGAGUUGGAUGUAUUGAAAUGAACCUGUCUUUCCUGGUAAUUUGUGAUGUUCCCUGAACACCGUUCUUUCAAGGGCUUUAAGUGAUCUUUAAUAAAAUGAAAGCGAUGGCUCAGCGAAGACCGGAUGUCGCCGUCUGCUUAUUUCCCUCUGAAUAGGUCGUUCAGAUCUUCUCUCUCAGAAAGAAUCCCUGUCUCCUGUCACAGCAAAAGACACUAGUGGAACACAACGGGAAAUCGGGAUGAAGGAAGCGGGCACGCAGGUGUGAGAACCAUGCAGGCUGACCGCCUCGUGCUGGGGUUUGCGUGUGGCUGUCAGCCUCUCGUCCUGCCCCUCGAGGGACUGGUCAUGUCAUCAGAACAGGAGCAAGAUAUGAGAGCCUUAAGGGAGAGUCUUCCCGUCACAAAGCUGGCACUGACAAUGUUCUUGAUGUGUCCGGGCUGAGCUCGCACAUGCACACGGGCCUCUGGCUCCCUUCAGAAAACAGCUCUCGGCUGGGCUGCCGACCGGAAGUGGACGGGAGAUGGUUUGAUCCCACUGGCUGGUGCUAAAGAGAACCGGGCCGGACAGCAGUUAGAGCCGUAAAAGCCUUUUACUCAGGACCACUGCAGUAGGGGAAAAGAGACCUCGGUGUAGACAGGCUCAAUUCCAAAUACGGCAAGAACAGGUGUGGUGCUCAAUGGAUGGAGAACCACUGAGGAGACAUCACGGGUGUGGCCACGAGGAAUGCCCGGACGAGGCCUGGUCGGGAAAGGGGUCUGAGGAGAGUGUCAGCGGGGCUGGGAGAAAUUCAGAAAUGUCUGCAUUCUGUGGUGCUCAUUAUCAUCGGUCUCAUCACGUCACGUCGCCGGCUGUCAGUGCUUACCUGUCGCCUUCUCUGCUAAGUUGUAAGUCCUGUGACCGCAGGGACCGAGUCUUUCUGCUCAUCACUCUGGCUCCCAGCACGAUGCCUGGCAUACAGUACGUGCUUAGUCUAUAUUUGCCACAUAAAGUCAAGUGUGGACACUGAGGCAGUGAUCAGGACGUGGCGUGUUAGAAAGCUCUGGAAUGGGAGGUGGGAAACCUCGGUCGGCACUGACGACUGGCCUUCGACCACACGUUGCCUCACCCCCGGUGAUGGGCUUCUAGGUUGCCUGCAACGCCCUGCUGCUAAAACCCAUGCAAAAUGCAUCUCCUCUGAGGGGUCCCUUAGGCACCUGGGGGAGGCUCUAGGAGUGGGAUUGCUGGAUCACGUGUGUGCACAGCACACACACACCAUGCAUGUGCACAUCAUAUGUGUGCACAUCACACGUGUGCCUGUUCUGAACCUCACCAGGCAGGGCCAGAAGGUGGUCCGCGGUGGCUUUGCCAGCCCCCAGGAGUGAGGAAGGAAACCUCUUGCCUUGCAUCCCGCCAACACAUGUGCUUGUGUUACACCUCUGUGACGCUACUCUUUUUUGUUAUUUGUCAAAUUAAGGCAGUUUCUACUGAUUGAUCUGCUGUGGAAGAUGACGCCUUAGCUUGUUCACGGUGUCCUCGUUUCCGUUACCCUGCUGCCUCUAUUCUUGGCUCCAUCAGUUAUUCUGCAGACAGUGCAUUGGGCUCCUGUGCCUGCCAGACUGUUGUAGCUGCUGGGGAUCCCUCAGCCCUGCCCUUCGGAGCCACAUGCUGCGACGGCCGAUGAGCAGCAAUGACUGUAUAGCUCCGCGUCUGGUCUGCCAGGUGUGCCCAAGCCUGAGGACAGGCAGCAGGACAAGAUGGAUGUGGGUGCUACUUCAUCGGGGAGGGUUGGAUGACAAUCCUGAAGGAGGGUGAGAGUGAGCCGCGGGCGUGUCUGGAGAGGUCGCGGGCAGAGAGAACCUCAGAGCAGAGACUCUGACGUGGGAGUGUACCUGGCUCCCCGAGGACAGGCCCAAGCUCACUGAUCCUGGAGCCACGUGGGAGGGAAGGGUCAGAGAGGAGCCGGACACUGAGGCAGGGGAGGGCAUGGGCCACCGUGAGCUCUUUGGUUUUCAUGCUGAAGGAAAUGGGAAGGCGCUGGGAGGAGGUGAUGGACUCCCAUUUAUAAAACCACUCAGUUGAGACUAGACCGUAGACGGCUAGUGUAACGACCACGCAGUGGACAGAGAUGGCUUCACAGUGAUGGGGUAGCGAGAACGGGCUGGUCCCGCCACUGUGUGCAUCCAGCAGGAUUUGUCAACAGACGGGAUGUGAGAGAGAGAGAGGGCAGAGUGGAUUCCAAGGUCCGGGUCUGGGUGAGCACAGCAGAGGGGCCUGGGCAGCAGGCCUGGCAGGGGAUGGGGAGGCGGUGUGGACAUCCACUGGGAGGUGCCAUGCAGGCAGCUGGACCUCCAGGUCUGGAAUUCAAGGAGAGGACGAGGUGGACACACACACCUGGAUGUCGUCAGGGUUUAGAUGGCAUGUAAAGCUGCGAG